rnacentral:sRNA from 1 species
AUAUCUCUCUGUACGGGAAGGAUGAGAAGCUUCGACUAAGGUUCGAUUCGAGCGCAGCGAGAAAGCGUUGCCGCAGGCAACGACCCGAAGGGCGAAGCGCGCAGCGCUGAGUCAUCCUUCCCCCACCACC